GUUUUUUGCUACACUGUAAAAAAUUUCCGGGAUUUCACAAGAUGUAACUGUGAUAUUUCACAGUAAAUUACAUUAUUAGCAUGUCACAGGCUUUAGCUGUGACAUUUCACAAUAUAGUACAGUAUUCAGACUUUUAUUGUGAAAAUAAUGCCAUCGGCGAAAUCACAGGGAACGGCUGUAAGUUCCGACGCGCGCUGUCUGUUUGGGUUCUCUCAUCUCUGCGGUCUCAUCCAACGGAUUCAGUGGUUUCGCGUGGGUUGAACCGCUGAAUUUAAAAAUAAAGCAAUGAACAGAUGUUGGUAGUGUUACUGUGAGACCUUUUAGGAGCUUUAUUAAAAAUAAAACAUUAUUUGUUAACUUGAGCUUUUCUUAGUGCUAAGCUAACAGCUUUCUCUCUUUUUCUUCCUACACAGCAUCUUUCUGCGGUAUCCACUGGGGAGUAAAGUUAUGAGGUAUUUUUUCCACACUUCACAAGGAUGGGGACAUCACUCAGAAGAGUAAAGUUUCGAGAAGCCCUGGAUAACAACCACAAUAACAUUCUGAAGUUCGUCCAAGGAGUCAACUAUCAUCAACGGGGUGCUUCUUGGGCAUUAAUUCGGAGACAGACAGGCAGAAAGGACAGAAACAACAAGCUGCAAGUCUGUACACUGAUUAGAAAACUUAUGACUUGAAUGGAUGUCAGUCUAGUGUGUCACAAAUACUAGUUCUUUGUUUAGCUAGAGGCGAUUGUACACUUUGUACUCUUACAAUGUUCUAUAUCAGGAGUCUCCAACGUGGUGCCCAUGGGCAGCAGGUAGCCCGCACAGAGUCUGUGAGGUGCCCACCAAAUCACAUUCUAUUAAUAGUCUCAAUUGUAAUAUUUGUUGAUUACAUAUUUUUUAUAUUGACUUGGCUUGGUUUACAUAUGUUACAAUUUUAAACAAUACAAAAACAUAUCAAAAAGUACAAUUAAAUAAAAUCAACAAGUAAAACAAAAAAAUUUUGAGUAGACUAUAUCAAAAGGUAGCCCUCCAGAAUGUUUUAUCCAUUGUGGUAGCCCUUGCUCACAAAAAGGUUGGAGACCCCUGUUCUAUAUUGUGUCUGUUAAAUAAAGAAACAUGAAGAAAUUAGUGAAUGUCAGUCUACAUUGUAAAAAUAAAAUAUUUGUUGCACUUAUUUUUUAAGUUUAAUUAACUCUAAAUUACAAUUUAUUUCAACUUUCUUGACUAGUGAAAAGUUGCUAUUAAUUAUAAAAAAUAAAGUUGAAAUAACUUAAGCUAACUACUUUAAUUUAAUAAUUUAUAGCAACUCUUCAUUAGUCAAAAAAGUUAAAUGAAUUAUAAAUUCAAGUUGAUUAAAUUUAAAAAUGUAAGUCCCGUUUUUUACAGUGUAGAGCGGGCUGGGCAUUCCUGGUCUUUGAGGGCCACUGUCCUGCAAUGUUUAGCUCCAACCCUAAUCAAACACACCUCAAUGUCAUUUCCAUGUCAUACUGAAGCCUUUGAUUGAGAUUUUCAGGUGUGUUUGAUUAGGGUUGGAGCUAAACUUUGCAGGACAGUGGCCUUCAAGGACCAGGAAUGCCCACCCCUGCUGUAGAGUGUAAGCAGUGUUCCAAUGCACAAAAGGAAAUAUUAUUCUGUGUAGUUAUUAUUCUGAUGUUAUUUAUACUAUCUGAGAUAGUCAAUGAAUAAUAUGUAAUAAUAAUAUGUAAUAAUAUGUUAUGUACAAAAUAAAAGUAUGAAAUCGA